rnacentral:rRNA from 1 species
UACAAGGAUUCCCUCAGUAACCGGCGAGUGAAGCGGGAAGAGCUCAAAUUUAAAAUCUGGUUUGCUUGCAAGCCCGAGUUGUAGUCUGAAGAAACGUUUUCCAUAAGCACUGAGACAAAAGUCCCUUGGAACAGGGCAUCAUAGAGGGUGAGAAUCCCGUCCAUGGUCUCAAGUUGUUUAUUUUGUGAUACGUUUUCAAAGAGUCAGGUUGUUUGGGAAUGCAGCCUAAAAUGGGUGGUAAAUUUCAUCUAAAGCUAAAUAUUGGCGAGAGACCGAUAGCGAACAAGUACCGUGAGGGAAAGAUGAAAAGAACUUUGAAAAGAGAGUUAAACAGUACGUGAAAUUGUUGAAAGGGAACCGUUUGAAGCCAGUCUUACUUGCCUGUGAUCAAUUUUUGCUUCGGCAUGAAUGCACUCUCGGGUAUGGUAGGCCAACGACAGUUUGGAAUGCGAGAAAAAAAUAGAGGAAAUGUGGCCUUCGGGUGUUAUAGUCCUUUAUAAAAUAUCGUGUUCUGGACUGAGGAUCGCAGCAAAAACGUGGGCAGGUGGAUUUCUGUGGUAACUGUCGGUUAGGACAACUUGUUGACCUAGUCUUCCUUAGCCUCACUAUUUACCUUGCUUCUAAUUUGCUUAGGUCGUUGGCAUAAUGGCUUUAAAUGACCCCGUCUUG